ensembl:lncRNA
CAUACGGAGUCUGAAGAUGACCUUACAGAGGAGGUGUAUGAACAAGACAUGGAAGUUUCUGAUGUCAGUCUGGCACGAAGCAUGGAGCAGAAACGAAGUGGGUCUCCACAAGAAAAUGAAGGGGAGAGUAAUUCCGAUGGAGAUGACAUCCCUGUCCAAAAGAAAAAGUCCAAGACCAUUCGCAAGCCACAGAAGAAGAGGCCCUGGGAAACUGAGGAGACAAAUGCCGUUGAAAAGCACAUGAGGAACUUCAUUUUGACCUGCAAUGUUCCAAGAAAGGAAGACUGUGAUAAGUGCCUUAAAUCAGAGCCAGAAGCACUAAAAAAUAGAGACUGGAAGGCACUCAAAUUCUACAUCAAAAAUAGAAUUACUGCACUAAAAAGGAAAAUGUAAAACAUUUCAGUUUUCAUCAGGUACAAUAGAGAGAAAUGGGGGAGAGGGGGACAGGAGAUAGAGUGAGGGGGGGGGGGACCAUAGAGAGAAGGAAGGAGGGAGGGAGGGAGGGGGGGGACCAUAGAGAGAAGGGGAGAGGGAGGGAGAGAGAGAGGGGGAGAGAGAGAGGGGGAGAGAGGGAGAGAGGGGGCGAGGGAGGGAGAGAGACCAUAGGGAGAGGGAGGGACCAUAGGGAGGGAGAGAGUGAGGGGGGGACCAUAGGGAUAGAGGGGGAUAGAGAUUCCUUGUUCAGAAUCUUGUCGGGCGGUUCAUAGGCCUACUGUAUUUGAGUUGACACUCAAUAAAGAGCUUUUAAAGUAUGUUCAGGUGAUCUAAUUCUAAUUCAUGUGUAGAAACCUCAUCUAUCUAUAAAUGGCUGUCUGUCUGUGGCUCGUAUAUCUCUCUGACCAUAUGUCAGAUCGGCCUAAAAUUUCGGAUAUGGCUUGCGCAUGGGCCGAUGGUGUGCAUCCUCAAUUGAAAAAAAAAAAAUCAAAACCUUUUAUGAAAUGAUUUUACAUGCAAGCCCCAAAAGGUGCCAAAUAAACACAGAAGUAAUGCUACUACGCAACGAUUGCGUGCAGGUGUUGUGCUACACGGUGAAUACUUAACCGGCUGGCGAAAACGUCAACGCAUUCCCUUUCAAACAGGAGUUGUAGGCUUUGUGACAGGCUGGCACUGCACUUGACCAAACAGUUACGCUGCGUUCCAUUUGUCUCGUGAAGUCGUCGCCCGAGUUGUACUGACGCGAGAACAUGACGUCACUUCCUGGGUCGUACUAUUAUACAAAAGGUACUGAAUAGAGAAUCAAAUAUAUAUAGCAUAGCAUACAAACCUGUUCUAUAAUGCCUGCACCGUACAUGAUCCAAACUUACUAUCACCCAACUCUAAUUUUAUGACCGUAGGUAGGCCAUAUCACCUUCACGUUUAGACUAGGUCUGUGGCGCAGGUGUCAACUGUUGGUCAACCCACAGUCUGUUUGUGGUUGUUUGUCUGAGAUUAUUGCACCAGAUAGUGGUCCUGUCUAGGGAUGUCAGAACAGCUGUUCCCCAGAAGAAUGAUAUACCUGAGGAGUGUGUUAAGAUGUUCCUCAGAAGAAUAGCAAAUCCUGAGAUGUGUGUUUAGGGUCCCCAGAAGAAUAGCUAUACCUGAGAAGUUCCCACAUAGGAGGUCCUAGUCAGGUCUGAACCCAAGUUAUGAAUAUUGUUAAUUUGAAGUGAUAUUCAUGCUCCUCAAGUGCAUCUAAACAUGCCAGAUUUUUUUCAGAGGUGUAUGAUGUCUAGGAAGGGUGGCUCCCACAAUGUAGGUUCCUGUCAGGUUGUACCACAACGUGACAAAGACAAGCCUGUGUGUGUGUGUGUGUGUGUGUGUGUGUGUGUGUGUGUGUGUGUGUGUGUGUUUGGAGGAGGUUGUGGUAAAGAGUGCUAAAGAGAGUGGCGUGAACUUUAUUUUUACACUGCUCUUUAGAUUGAUUCACAAUUCAGCAUCAAGGUCAAUCUGUAGGUCAACUCUCUGACACAGGGAACCAUAUAUAGCUUGUAAAAAUCAUUCCCUGACCCAGGAAUCACUGAGUAGCAAUAAACACAUGCAAGC